CCUACGGGUGGCAGCAGUGGGGAAUAUUGGACAAUGGGCGAAAGCCUGAUCCAGCCAUGCCGCGUGUGUGAAGAAGGCCUUCGGGUUGUAAAGCACUUUCAGUGGGGAAGAAAGCCUUGGGGCUAAUACCCUCGAGGAAGGACAUCACCCACAGAAGAAGCACCGGCUAACUCCGUGCCAGCAGCCGCGGUAAUACGGAGGGUGCGAGCGUUAAUCGGAAUUACUGGGCGUAAAGCGCGCGUAGGCGGUCUGAUAAGCCGGUUGUGAAAGCCCCGGGCUCAACCCGGGAACGGCAUCCGGAACUGUCAGGCUAGAGUGCAGGAGAGGAAGGUAGAAUUCCCGGUGUAGCGGUGAAAUGCGUAGAGAUCGGGAGGAAUACCAGUGGCGAAGGCGGCCUUCUGGACUGACACUGACGCUGAGGUGCGAAAGCGUGGGUAGCAAACAGGAUUAGAUACCCCGGUAGUC
rnacentral:rRNA from 1 species